CCCAUACGACCGUACCGCAAACCGACACUGGUGCGCGAGAUGAGUAUUCUAAGGCGCUUGAGAGAACUCAGGAGAAGGAACUCGGCAAAUUGACACCGUAACUUCGGAAGAAGGUGUGCCCUAUUAGUGUGUAGUGAACAACGAAGCAUGAAUGGGUUGCAAAAAAUCGGUGGCUGCGACUGUUUAUUAAAAACACAGCACUCUGCAAACACGAAAGUGGACGUAUAGGGUGUGACGCCUGCCCGGUGCUGGAAGAUUAAAUGAUGGGGUGCAAGCUCUUGAUUGAAGUCCCAGUAAACGGCGGCCGUAACGAUAACGGUCCUAAGGUAGCGAAAUUCCUUGUCGGGUAAGUUCCGACCUGCACGAAUGGCGUAACGAUGGCCACACUGUCUCCUCCUGAGACUCAGCGAAGUUGAAAUGUUUGUGAUGAUGCAAUCUCCCCGCGGAAAGACGGAAAGACCCCAUGAACCUUUACUGUAGCUUUGUAUUGGACUUUGAACAGUUCUGUGUAGGAUAGGUGGGAGGCUUUGAAGCAGGGUCGCUAGAUCUUGUGGAGCCAACGUUGAAAUACCACCCUGGUGUGUUUGAGGUUCUAACCUAGGUCCAUUAUCUGGAUCGGGGACAGUGCAUGGUAGGCAGUUUGACUGGGGCGGUCUCCUCCCAAAGCGUAACGGAGGAGUUCGAAGGUACGCUAGUUACGGUCGGACAUCGUGACGAUAGUGCAAUGGCAUAAGCGUGCUUAACUGCGAGACUGACAAGUCGAGCAGAUGCGAAAGCAGGACAUAGUGAUCCGGUGGUUCUGUAUGGAAGGGCCAUCGCUCAACGGAUAAAAGGUACUCUGGGGAUAACAGGCUGAUACCGCCCAAGAGUUCAUAUCGACGGCGGUGUUUUGGCACCUCGAUGUCGGCUCAUCUCAUCCUGGGGCUGUAGCCGGUCCCAAGGGUAUGGCUGUUCGCCAUUUAAAGAGGUACGUGAGCUGGGUUUAAAACGUCGUGAGACAGUUUGGUCCCUAUCUUCCGUGGGCGCUGCAGAUUUGAGGAAGCCUGCUCCUAGUACGAGAGGACCGGAGUGGACACACCUCUGGUGUAUCGGUUGUCACGCCAGUGGCAUUGCCGAGUAGCUAAGUGUGGAAGAGAUAACCGCUGAAAGCAUCUAAGCGGGAAACUCGUUUCAAGAUGAGAUCUGCCGGGGCCUUGAGCCCCCUAAAGAGUCGUUCAAGACCAGGACGUUGAUAGGUCAGGUGUGGAAGC
rnacentral:rRNA from 1 species